GUUGUAUGGUUAAGUGACUAAGCGUACACGGUGGAUGCCUUGGCAGUCAGAGGCGAUGAAAGACGUAGUAACUUGCGAUAAGCCCAGAUUAGGUAGUAACAACCAUUUGAGUCUGGGAUUUCUGAAUGGGGAAACCCACGUGCAUAAGCACGUAUCCUUACCUGAAUACAUAGGGUAAGGAGGCGAACCGGGGGAACUGAAACAUCUAAGUACCCCGAGGAAAAGAAAUCAACCGAGAUUCCGAAAGUAGCGGCGAGCGAAAUUGGACUAGCCCUUAAGCUUUA
rnacentral:rRNA from 1 species